UGCAGAAUCCCGUGAACCAUCGAGUCUUUGAACGUUGCGCCUGAAGCCUUUAAUAAGCUACGGAAAAGAUACAAGGCCUGGCGAGCGAGCCGGGAACAGCCCAGCUUGAAAAUCAGGUGACCACGUUGCCUGA
rnacentral:misc_RNA from 1 species